ACAACGCUGGCGGCGCGCCUAAUGAAUGCGAGUCGAACGAGAAGCAGACAGUUGAUCUCUUCGGAGUGAUUCAGUCUGUGGAAAGUGGCGAACGGGUGAGUAACACGUGGGUAACCUACCUCCGAGACGGGGACAACACAGGGAAACUUGUGCUAAUACCCGAUGGUCUACCGGUGCACAUGUACCGGAUAGUAAAUGGUCAGCCGCUCGGAGAUGGGCCCGCGGCCCAUUAGCUAGUUGGUGAGGUAACGGCUCACCAAGGCGACGAUGGGUAGCCGGUCUGAGAGGAUGAUCAGCCACACUGGAACUGAGACACGGUCCAGACUCCUACGGGAGGCAGCAGUGGGGAAUUUUGGACAAUGGGCGCAAGCCUGAUCCAGCCAUUCCGCGUGCAGGAUGAAGGCCUUCGGGUUGUAAACUGCUUUUGUACGGAACGAAACGGUCUGCCCUAAUACGGCGGGCUAAUGACGGUACCGUAAGAAUAAGCACCGGCUAACUACGUG
rnacentral:rRNA from 1 species